GCUACCGUGGUCCAAUGGUUAGGAUUCCACCCUUCCAUCCGAUGUUAGGUGGAGGUUCGUGUUCGAUUCACGACGGCUGCA